rnacentral:ncRNA from 2 species
CUAACUACGUGGCCCGUUAGAAAACGGGUUAGGCGCGUAGUAUAAAUUUCACUAUAUGCUGGAAACUUUUGUAAAGACUAAUCUACCGAAAGGUGAAAAUGAUUAGCCAAACCCUAAAAAGUCUGAGACUGACAUAAGGGUUGCAAAACAAUCAGCAGGGAAGAUCCGUCAAUUGGCGGAAACCCUCAGAGACUAUACGUGAAACACUCGAAAGAGUGAAGAUAUAGUCCAUGUUCGGAACGUUUUUUCUAA